rnacentral:rRNA from 1 species
AGCAGUAGCCGCGGUAAUACGUAGGUCCCGAGCGUUGUCCGGGUUUAUUGGGCGUAAAGCGAGCGCAGGUGGUUUAAUAAGUCUGAUGAGAAAGCCCACGGCUCAACCGUGGAGGGUCAUUGGAAACUGUUAAACUUGAGUGCAGGAGAGAAAGGUGGAAUUCCUAGUGUAGCGGUGAAAUGCGUAGAGAUUAGGAGGAACACCAGUGGCGAAGGCGGCUUUUUGGCCUGUAACUGACACUGAGGCGCGAAAGCGUGGGGAGCAAACAGGAUUAGAUACCCCCGUAGUCCCUGUCUCUUAUAC